rnacentral:rRNA from 1 species
UUAAGCGACUAAGCGUACACGGUGGAUGCCCUGGCAGUCAGAGGCGAUGAAGGACGUGCUAAUCUGCGAUAAGCGUCGGUAAGGUGAUAUGAACCGUUAUAACCGGCGAUUUCCGAAUGGGGAAACCCAGUGUGUUUCGACACACUAUCAUUAACUGAAUCCAUAGGUUAAUGAGGCGAACCGGGGGAACUGAAACAUCUAAGUACCCCGAGGAAAAGAAAUCAACCGAGAUUCCCCCAGUAGCGGCGAGCGAACGGGGAGCAGCCCAGAGCCUGAAUCAGUGUGUGUGUUAGUGGAAGCGUCUGGAAAGGCGCGCGAUACAGGGUGACAGCCCCGUACACAAAAAUGCACAUGCUGUGAGCUCGAUGAGUAGGGCGGGACACGUGGUAUCCUGUCUGAAUAUGGGGGGACCAUCCUCCAAGGCUAAAUACUCCUGACUGACCGAUAGUGAACCAGUACCGUGAGGGAAAGGCGAAAAGAACCCCGGCGAGGGGAGUGAAAAAGAACCUGAAACCGUGUACGUACAAGCAGUGGGAGCCUCUUUUAUGGGGUGACUGCGUACCUUUUGUAUAAUGGGUCAGCGACUUAUAUUCUGUAGCAAGGUUAACCGAAUAGGGGAGCCGAAGGGAAACCGAGUCUUAACUGGGCGUUAAGUUGCAGGGUAUAGACCCGAAACCCGGUGAUCUAGCCAUGGGCAGGUUGAAGGUUGGGUAACACUAACUGGAGGACCGAACCGACUAAUGUUGAAAAAUUAGCGGAUGACUUGUGGCUGGGGGUGAAAGGCCAAUCAAACCGGGAGAUAGCUGGUUCUCCCCGAAAGCUAUUUAGGUAGCGCCUCGUGAAUUCAUCUCCGGGGGUAGAGCACUGUUUCGGCAAGGGGGUCAUCCCGACUUACCAACCCGAUGCAAACUGCGAAUACCGGAGAAUGUUAUCACGGGAGACACACGGCGGGUGCUAACGUCCGUCGUGAAGAGGGAAACAACCCAGACCGCCAGCUAAGGUCCCAAAGUCAUGGUUAAGUGGGAAACGAUGUGGGAAGGCCCAGACAGCCAGGAUGUUGGCUUAGAAGCAGCCAUCAUUUAAAGAAAGCGUAAUAGCUCACUGGUCGAGUCGGCCUGCGCGGAAGAUGUAACGGGGCUAAACCAUGCACCGAAGCUGCGGCAGCGACACUAUGUGUUGUUGGGUAGGGGAGCGUUCUGUAAGCCUGUGAAGGUGUGCUGUGAGGCAUGCUGGAGGUAUCAGAAGUGCGAAUGCUGACAUAAGUAACGAUAAAGCGGGUGAAAAGCCCGCUCGCCGGAAGACCAAGGGUUCCUGUCCAACGUUAAUCGGGGCAGGGUGAGUCGACCCCUAAGGCGAGGCCGAAAGGCGUAGUCGAUGGGAAACAGGUUAAUAUUCCUGUACUUGGUGUUACUGCGAAGGGGGGACGGAGAAGGCUAUGUUGGCCGGGCGACGGUUGUCCCGGUUUAAGCGUGUAGGCUGGUUUUCCAGGCAAAUCCGGAAAAUCAAGGCUGAGGCGUGAUGACGAGGCACUACGGUGCUGAAGCAACAAAUGCCCUGCUUCCAGGAAAAGCCUCUAAGCAUCAGGUAACAUCAAAUCGUACCCCAAACCGACACAGGUGGUCAGGUAGAGAAUACCAAGGCGCUUGAGAGAACUCGGGUGAAGGAACUAGGCAAAAUGGUGCCGUAACUUCGGGAGAAGGCACGCUGAUAUGUAGGUGAAGUCCCUCGCGGAUGGAGCUGAAAUCAGUCGAAGAUACCAGCUGGCUGCAACUGUUUAUUAAAAACACAGCACUGUGCAAACACGAAAGUGGACGUAUACGGUGUGACGCCUGCCCGGUGCCGGAAGGUUAAUUGAUGGGGUUAGCGCAAGCGAAGCUCUUGAUCGAAGCCCCGGUAAACGGCGGCCGUAACUAUAACGGUCCUAAGGUAGCGAAAUUCCUUGUCGGGUAAGUUCCGACCUGCACGAAUGGCGUAAUGAUGGCCAGGCUGUCUCCACCCGAGACUCAGUGAAAUUGAACUCGCUGUGAAGAUGCAGUGUACCCGCGGCAAGACGGAAAGACCCCGUGAACCUUUACUAUAGCUUGACACUGAACAUUGAGCCUUGAUGUGUAGGAUAGGUGGGAGGCUU